rnacentral:rRNA from 1 species
UAGGGAAUAUUGGUCAAUGGGUGAGAGCCUGAACCAGCCAUGCCGCGUGCAGGAAGAAGGCCUUCUGGGUUGUAAACUGCUUUUUGCCGGGGGAUAAAAUGGCUUUGCGAAGCUAAUUGAAGGUACCCGGUGAAUAAGCCACGGCUAACUACGUGCCAGCAGCCGCGGUAAUACGUAGGUGGCAAGCGUUGUCCGGAUUUAUUGGGUUUAAAGGUGCGUAGGCGGUUCUUUAAGUCAGUGGUGAAAUACAGCCGCUUAACGGUUGAGGUGCCAUUGAUACUGAAGAACUUGAGUACAGACGAGGUAGGCGGAAUUGACGGUGUAGCGGUGAAAUGCUUAGAUAUCGUCAAGAACACCGAUAGCGAAGGCAGCUUACUAGACUGUAACUGACGCUGAGGCACGAAAGUGUGGGGAUCAAACAGGAUUAGAUACCCCCGUAGUCCCUGAGCGGGCUGGCAAGGCGCAU